AAGACAAAUCCAGCCUGAGCCGGGGGCCUCUGCUUCGCUGGUCAGGAGCAACUCGAUUUCUGGUCUGCGCCUCCGAGCGCGGAGCUCUGGGUCACCAGCCUGAACCGCUUAAUGCACAUCACGCCUGGGUCUACUUGGAAAUGGCUGAAGGCGCUUAAAUGGAACUCCCAACCUUUGUCCUCAGCCCCGAAACCACAGCUGUACAAUAUUCCAUCCUGUGGAUAUUCCAUAAUUUACUUCUCCACCGCCCCAUUCCUUGACAUUCAACUCUUUCAGGUACCACACUGGACUGGAAUGGUUUGUUUGUAUGCUGCCUUCUCUAAGAGACUGGAAGCUUCUGGAAGCCAGGAGUGAGUGGGUUUCCUUAUCACCGUACCUCCAGCAUUGAAUACAGAUCUGACUCUGAGCCUGAGAGUGGGUCGAGUCAAACAUUUUCUCCAAAAGACACACUCAUACAUUGCUGGUGGAGUUGCAAAUUGGUGCAGCCACUCUGGAAAGCAGU